UCCCUGGUGGCUCAGGUGGUAAAAGUGUCUGCUUAUAAUGCGGGAGACCUGGGUUCGAUCCCCGGGUGGGGAA
rnacentral:tRNA from 1 species